UACGUAGGGGGCAAGCGUUGUCCGGAAUCAUUGGGCGUAAAGCGCGUGUAGGCGGCUUGGUAAGUCUGCUCUGAAAGCCCGGGGCUCAACCCCGGGAGGCGGGUGGAUACUGGGAAGCUUGAGUCCGGAAGAGGUGAGUGGAACUGCGAGUGUAGAGGUGAAAUUCGUAGAUAUUCGCAAGAACACCAGUGGCGAAGGCGGCUCACUGGUCCGGUACUGACGCUGAGGUGCGAAAGCGUGGGGAGCAAACAGG
rnacentral:rRNA from 1 species